GUUGUCCAUCUGAUGAGUUAAGCCUUUUUUAACUGAUUUUUAUAGUUCGUUCUUAUGUUGUACUGUUAUACCACUGUCCCAGGUUAGGGGGAGGGUUGGGAUCCCGCUAACAUGUUUAACCCCGCCACAUUAUUUAUGUAUGUGCCUGUCCCAAGUCAGGAGCCUGUAAUUCAGUGGUUGUCGGUUGUUUAUGUGUAACAUAUUUGUUUUUCGUUCAUUUUUUUUACAUAAAUAAGGCCGUUAGUUUUCUCGUUUGAAUUGUUUUACAUUGUCUUAUUGGGACCUUUUAUAGCUGACUAUGCGGUAUGGGCUUUGCUCAUUGUUGUAGGCCGUACGGUGACCUAUAGUUGUUAAUGUCUGUGUCAUUUUGGUCUUUUGUGGAUAGUUGUCUCAUUGGCAAUCAUACCACAUCUUCUUUUUUAUAU
rnacentral:lncRNA from 1 species